UACGUAGGGGGCAAGCGUUGUCCGGAAUCAUUGGGCGUAAAGCGCGUGUAGGCGGUCCGGUAAGUCCGCUGUGAAAGUCGGGGGCUCAACCCUCGAAUGCCGGUGGAUACUGUCGGGCUAGAGUGCGGAAGGGGCGAGUGGAAUUCCUGGUGUAGCGGUGAAAUGCGCAGAUAUCAGGAGGAACACCGAUUGCGAAGGCAGCUCGCUGGGACGUUACUGACGCUGAGACGCGAAAGCGUGGGGAGCAAACAGG
rnacentral:rRNA from 1 species